rnacentral:misc_RNA from 1 species
GAAAUGCGAUAAGUAAUGUGAAUUGCAGAAUUCAGUGAAUCAUCGAAUCUUUGAACGCACAUUGCGCCCGCCAGUAUUCUGGCGGGCAUGCCUGUUCGAGCGUCAUUACAACCCUCAGGCCCCCGGGCCUGGCGUUGGGGAUCGGCGGAAGCCCCCUGCGGGCACAACGCCGUCCCCCAAAUACAGUGGCGGUCCCGCCGCAGCUUCCAUUGCGUAGUAGCUAACACCUCGCAACUGGAGAGCGGCGCGGCCACGCCGUAAAACACCCAACUUCUGAAUUUUGACCUCGAAUCAGGUAGGAAUACCCGCUGAACUUAAGC